AUAACACAGAUUUCUUAUCAAACAGUAUAAAUAUCUGAAUGCUCUGAGAUGGCCAUCUAUCUGUAGUUCGCACGAGUCAACAUGUCUAUUUUCACCGUUCUGUGUCUCUUCGCCGUCGUCGUUGCCGCUGUGGCACAAGACACAACAACAGCCAAGAGUUUCUUUUGCAAUGAUGACCGUGACUGCGAUCGCCACUGUACGGGAACACGUGGCUUCUGUAGCAAAGAUGACAACAUGUGCCACCACUGCGAGGCCUUGACCGCUUCCUCAUGUCGUUCUGAACUAGACUGUCUGCAGAGUUGCCGUCAUAACCACGAGCUCUUCGGCAUCUGUUACCGUGGCAACUGCAGAUGUUCCCACUUCGGAUAAACACAAAUGGAAAGAUUGAAGGACUGUGGCGGUGUCGGAAUUUCGUGAUUGUACUUAACAUAAUUAAAUCCUUGUUUCAUAAUACGUG